UCGGUCUCGCGCGUGUUGGUUACCUAUCCGUGUCCGUGUCCGUGCGUGCUCGUUUCAUCGGCGGUCGGUGCAGCCGAUUCUCACUUUCGGUAGAGAACGCGAUUCGUCCGGACGUGCGGAUCUCCGUCGGUGUUGUGUGUACGCUUCUCCGGAAACAUUCUAGUGUCGAGGACGCGCUGUUUUUCAGGGGUUUCGAAUUCGGUUCCAGGUUUGUUUUUGACUUGAAAAUAGUGGAAAUUUCGCCGCCGCCGUCGCCGGGUUAGUAAUCGAUUCCAUCGAAGGGUGCGGGCUUCCGUCCGUCGUCAAGGAUAUUCCGCGAGUUCUAAGCAAAACAUCGGAAGCUGUCAGAAUUUGCGGGGGUUGUGAGGAUUCGUGGAAAAUGGGAUGAUAAUACCGGAAGAUUGUGAAGAUUUUUGAAGCGAGUUUUUUCAAGGGAUUCGGUCAGAAGGGAGAAGAUCCGUCUUAGGACAUUCCUACGCAUUUUGAAGAUGUUCAUUCGGUUGCGUUUGUGAUUAUCCUCCGGAAAGAUUCGGAAAAGUGUUGGAUGUUUUUGUGCAAUAAUUGGCUGAAAGAGUGCAAAAAGCAGAAGUGAUUUGUGAAGAAAAUUGAUUCAAGAAAGCGAAGAUUUUGCCCGCAAAAGCCGAAUAGAUCCUCAAGAUCGGCAUUCGGUCGAUUAAGAUCAUUGAGAUUGUUGCGUUGAGCGAAUGAAUGGGUGAAGUGAAGCAAUAGCUGCCAAAGUAAGAAAAGUGGGCAGAAAGAAGAGUGUGGUUUUGGUCAAGGUGAGAUUUUUCUGUGGAAGUGUGUGCCCGAGUGAGACGGCGAUAUAUAAACAAAAGAAGCAAAAUAACGUCGCAUCAGCGGGAAGAAGGAGAAAGCGCGAAUAGAAUAUUGGGAAGAAGGAAGAUUCCUGUCCAGCCAGAGCCGCAUCGAUGUUUUGACAGCUCGUAGCAAUGCGUUGAAUGAUGUGCUGAAUGACUCUGCAAUAAUAUAAAGGUAUAAGCUCUAAAAGAGUAAGCAGGCUCCUAUUUUCCAGGUAAUUUAUAGAAGGGUUUUGAUUUUCUUGUGUCAAUUUACGUCCAAAACAUGUAGAAAUUUGAGAAUGAUAAAAAAUGUAGCGUCAUUCAGAAGCCCUUGACCCGAAGCUAAUUUUUACGUAUAAAAUUUAAUAAUUUCCAUUUAAAUACACAUACUAGAUGAUAGUUAACCAUCUCAAUGUGUUUGCGAAGUUUGAGUACUGAUCAAGGGCUAUUACAUGCGGCCAUUCACUAUUUGGAAUGGUGACCUUAUAUGGCAACACUGAUCGAUCUGCAUAAGAUCAUGUGGGGUCCCAAAUAUUCUCCGGGGGUGCAAAACUUCGAAACAAACAAAAAAAUAUCGAAACUCUACGGUAAUUUGUCUUCGAAAAUAACCGAAGAAAUUUAGCCUCCCGAAAAUUUAAAUUUACCGGACGUUCGGUAGUCGUACACAUUACCAAUAGUUCAGCUGUUGAAAAUUCUGUAAACAAAGUUCAAAUACUGUUGAAUAAUUUAAGUGUGUAUCUCACUAGGAUUUAGGAUAAUUAUCAAUAUUUGAAUUUACAUGAUCAGUGUUGCCAGCAAUAGCAUAAUUCUUGUGUCACAAUAUGAAACAAUGUACUAUAACAUUGUAGAACAUUCGAUUUGCCUAUAUCACAUCGGAUUUGAGCUAUAGAGCUCUAUUUGAAUCUGCAUGGGCAGUGUUGCCAGCAAUAAGAAAAUGUGUCUCAAUGUGAAACAUUGUACUGUACUUGAAGUGCCCUAUAACACUGUCGAUGUCUCACAUUAUGCAGUGCUGCCAGUUGAAAUGUUAAUUUUGAAGAAUUACAUUUAUUUUUACAAAAGCAAGUACUCAAGGUAAAUCUAGAUAACUUACUGAUAAUGUGUCACGUUACUUCAAACUACACACCUUAAAAUUCUGUAAUUUGCACGAGACAGAAACAUCAAAGAACGUAAAUAUUUUCAAGACUGAAUCACAAAUUGGACUGAAUUUUACGCGCAUCAUGUAAGUCCUGGUUGGUUGCGUUAGGUGUCAACAAAUCCACUUCACUAGAAACGUAGAAUCAGUAUCAUAUUCAUCUGCCUCCUUUUAACUCGGUGAAAUAGCCGAGAGGUAAGAGAUGUGGCUCACAAUCAACAGAUCCUGAGUUCGAAUCCAGGCAUGUCAGUAUUUUACUUUUUUAUGUUUUAUCUAUCAGAUCGGUUCUAGCGAUUGCUAGACGCCAAGAAAAUAUAAAUUCUGGAAGCCGUAAAUUUACAUGUUUUGACCUCUAAAUUUGUGUCUUUGAAGACGCUCGUAUAUGUUAGGUUCAGGACACCUAAAAUUACAUGAUUUUUUCUAGGUGUGUACAAUAAACAUGAACACCAUACCAAUCUUAAGGGAUGUAGAGAUAAUUCCAUUUUCUAAAUCUUCAUGCCAAACUGGGCCGAAAUCCAAAUUUUCAUAAAUUUUGGGAAUCUAUUUAUAAACUUAUUCGAAGUUCGUAUGGCAGCGAUUUUAAUGAUCACCCCUCGUCGUAUUUUGUACUGAGCGAAGCUGUCAAGCAGUUGCCCAACAGUCAAAAGGUUAUUUUAACAAAUCUGUUUGAUAUUGAUUUUAGGCACCAAAAUAAAUCUAAAAAAAUCUGAAAAAAAAAUCAUGGUGGCUCAGAGAUAGAUACUCAAAAAAAACAACAACUGUAGUGAAUUACAUAUUCAGAUUUUUAUUCACAGUUCGGCAGUGUUGCCAACUUUAAAUUUGUUUUAUUAUAUGCAACCUGAAAUAUCGUUUACCGUUCUCCUUAAGUUCACUGUUAGUACUUAUUUUGAACUAUUGUAUGUUAAAUUAAUUUACCUGAAACGUGAUAACUGUAAUGUAAGAGGUUUAGGUAACACUUCCUUAAAAGAUAAUUAUUUCUCACUGCAGGUGUACCUGAAUUAUACAUAACUUUUGAAAAGAAGGGUAGGUUUUGUACCUCUUGGAGAAGUGACCCAAUUGUUGGAAUUCCGCUCCCAGGGGUUUUCCCUACUCCCAAUAAAAUAUAUAAGAACUGAAAAAGUUAUGCUGAUGUAUUGCAGACAUUCAUAUGUAUAUAUUUAGCAAGAUGGUCAACAUUGUCGAAACGUAGGGACGAAUUUAAACUGUUGUCGUUCCAAAGAGUUUGAUGACUGCAUAGCCGAGAAAUCCAACAUUUAGCAAUAUAUGAUUCUAUUUUGGCAGUGUUGCCAUCUAACAGAAGGAAUAAUGAUAUCGCGAGCUAUCACUGGUUGGCUUCUGUUGUCCUUUCGAACAUAUUACAUAUGUAUAUUUAGAAAAUUAUUCAAUAUUUAGAGAAUUGAUUGAAAUGGAUGUUAAUAGAAAUUUGAACGUAAAUAAGUGUACCUAAAGUAAUUUGGUGUAAAAUAACCGGACGUAAAAUUAAGUCGGACUGUACUAACUUCUUUUAGCCAAACAAUUUAUUUUUUUUUCUUUUUUUUUAGAUUUAUUUAAGGGACGCUUUCGGGAGUCCUUGGGGUAAUAUGAUUUUAAAAAGGUGUUAGAUCAGUGGCAUACGAGUUUCGACAUUAGAAUAUUAGGCAACAUAGUUAAUUAGCAUUGACAUAAGCAAUAGCAUUAGGAUUAAACAAGUCGCACAAAUUCAUAGGUGGUAGGUACAGUCCUUGACCAGUCCGUUACCAACGCACAGCGAUUUGGAACUAAUCAUCGAUUCUAAGACAAGAUUGACGCAAUCUUCCAACGGCCGGGAACUGUUCUGGCCACGUCCUUGCGACAGUUGUGGGAUGGGAAUGGAAGAUAAGUUGGAUACCUAAGAAAGGCAUAGAGUCUUCUCUGGCUCAGAUGCCACGGGCAUUUGGGUGAAUGUUAGUGUAGGGAUCAAGUCCAAAGGAUACGUUCGGUAAACGUUUAGGCGCUAAAGUUUCAAAACGAUAUGUAGGAACAAACUCACCAAAUUGUAGACUUCCAUCCUAGCUGCUGACCAAAAAAUCACAUGGAAAAACACAAACACGAAGAUAAACUCUGGCAUCCUGGACACUGGUUUCUUGGACAAAAAAUAACACACACGCCACACCCGCGCUAAAAAAAGAUUCAUACUACCGGCGUUCAAUGGCGAUCGCGACACCCUACAGCGCUGCCAAAUCAUACAAGUUAUUGCUAAAAAUGCGACACAUCGAUUAAAAGGACUUCCGACUGAAUAAUCAAUCAAAAUCCUAUUUUUCCACGUUAGAAGUUAAGAUCCGAGUGGCAGAGCUCUUGCCGAAUCAAAGAAAGAAAGAAUCGCGAAAGUAAGAAAAUAAAAAAAUCUUAUUAGGCAACGUAGCUAAUUAUUCCAAGAUAGAUUUUAUUAUUUUGUUUUCAGUGUUUCUUCGUACAUGGCGACCGUGACAAUACUUGCAUUUUCAUGGUUCAAGUCUUUCACACAGGAGUUUUCAAAAAUUCAAGCUCUGCAAUUUAAAAACGUCUCUCUCUCUCUCUCUCUCUCUCUUCUUGGCGUAACGUCCUCACUGAGACAAAGCCUGCUUCUCAGCUUAGUGUUCUAUGAGCACUUCCACAGUUAUUAACUGAGAGCUUCCUCUGCCAAUGACCAUUUUGCAUGUGUAUAUCGUGUGGCAGGCACGAAGAUACUCUAUGCCCAAGGAAGGAAAUUUCCUUUACCAAAAUAUCCUGGACCGACCGGGAAUCGAACCCGUCACCCUCAGCAUGGUCAUGUUGAAUACCUGUGCGUUUACCGCCUCGGCUAUAUGGGCCCUGAAACGUCAACCCUAUCGAAAGACACACCAUAAAGUUUUCCGAGUUUCAAUCUACUGUUCGAUGCAUAAUGUCAUUAUUGGCUUAAUCAUGUACAAAAACUACCAGAGCCGUUCGUUCCCAGGACAUUGGUCACAGUGUGCAAACUUUAUCUUUCCAAAGUGCUCUUGGAGCAAUAGCACUGUGAGAGAAACCAGCUAGCAGCCCCGUCUGCGCGGGGUCUGAUCUUUUGAACUUUGACUUUUGUGCCGAAACUGAUGCUGAUGCAGCUGCAUCCAAAAGUCUCAUCAACUAGCUAGAACUAUGGGUACAUUUGCUUGCUUGCCCGAACGUCGAACGCACGACAAGAUAGAAGCUUAAAACAUAAUUUUUAAGUACCCUAUUACUGCAAUACGUGCUCAGCAGCGAGGCGACAUCUAGGUAUUCUGGGAAAGUGACGAAGACCGAAGAAACUCACUGUUGGUUGGCGGUAGAUACGCGACUCGAGAGUGCGCGCUAGGAUAAUUUUUCAUAGUUCCAUAAAUAGUUUUAAUUAGGGUGAAAGUUUUUCGCUGACGUUGCUGCCCCGCGAGCCGGAAGGCGAAGGUGUCGUCCUUGGCGACGAUGACGCCGCAGCCCGCGCCUAGCGGAGAUCGAUACGUUCGAUGGAACAAGGCGGCAAAAAUCGUGGGCAUCCUUUCUGGCGUCCUUCCGUCUGCCUGUCGAAGACAGACAAGUUCGUUCGCUGCUGCUACCGGGAAAGUUAAUUAUAGUUGUUUAACGGGAUUGCUGUCGGGACUGGAUGCGCUUCUCGAGCGGAAAAUGCCAUUAGGAAGGGGUUUUCGAGUCAGGGGGAAAGAAAAGUCAGUUUACAACACAUUGUAAACAGAUGUGGUUGAUUAGGGCUUGGUGGAACGAAUCGAUGCUAUUUAUGCAAGAUUGCGGUAGAAUGAGGACCAGAACUAACUAAUGAAAGUGAACUCAUUUCACUAUCCAUAUCGAAAGUAGCAUAAUAGUUAUUUAUGUAACGAGUUGCAAAAGUUGAUUUUUUCAGCACAAGUCGUACAUUUAUCCAACGAGGCCUGCCGAGUUGGAUAAAUACGAUGAGUGCUGAAAAAAUCGAGUUUUGCGACGAGUUCUAUACAAAAUUUUAUGCAAUGAUUUUUUUCAUAAUGCAUCCCAUUUUAGUUGCAUAAUGUUCAUAAUGCAACUCAAAUGAGUUGCAAUAAGAACAUUAUACAACAAUUUUUCAUUAUGCCAUUCGUUUCAGUUGCAUAAUGAACCAGUUCUGAAAAAUUGGCCAUUAUGAUAACAAAAUGAGUUAGAAAAAGUAUAAAUUAUGAUACUAAAUUGCAUAAAAAAGUUUAUUUAAUCACGAAAACAAAUAAGGGAAUUGCAGUUAUUUUUCUUUCUGAUAAAACUAGGAAAAACAAAACCAUCAAAAUUUAUAUUACUGGGUCAACAAAAUUUCACGAAAAAACUAUGCUUUAUCCAUCCCUUCGCGGCAUUUCAUCCCGAAUUCAAUCGAUAGGCAUUUUUCCAACAUUAGAUUCACCGGCCAUCCUAAUUAACGCCACAUUUGUUUUCAUUAGGGAGCCCAAGGGCGAAGCCCAUCCAACCUAAACUGAUUACCGAAGCGCAGUAGACCAACACCAUCGUCACCAUCAUCAUCACCGUCAGCGCCGAUAAAAUAUCCACGUUGCGAUAAUUACAACAAUUAUGAUAAUCAUGUCGAUUACUUCGUGCGCUUAGGGCAGCAAAUAUUGCACAAAUGAACAGUCAAUAAUUAAUUAACAUAGCUGCUGCCAACUGGACCAGAAGCAGCAGCGUGGGCACCGUUUGUUGGUAUUGUGUUUAUGUUUGAGGAGUCCACAUUUUUUUCCCUACAAUAAUUUGCAGACUGCUACAAUUAAACUGUUUAAAUCACGUUGAUUUACUCUAAAGGUUAAAUUUACCCCGGGCGACCAAAACGGUCCCAUUUGUGCGUGACCAAAAGUUUAGGAGAGGGUAGUCGACAGUGAGGUAAAUAUAGGGGAUUUUUAUUAUUAUCGUACAUAUUGGUACGAAGGUUCUCAGAAUUUUAUGAAAUUUUGGUCACAGGUAGGGUUCGUGUAUAUACAGGGGGUGGCCAAAAUGUUUGGGAUUGCCAACUUUUUUUUCUUCCACAAAAAAUCAACAUGCUGUAACUUUUCAUUGACUGCAUCAAAAAAUCUCAAAUUUUGACUGUUUAUCAACCUGUUAUAUGUGCAUGAUUGGUACAAAAUUGGGCUCGAUUGAAUAAUUUUUCGCGAAGUUAGAACCGUUCGGGUAAAAUACUAGGGGGAUUCACUUAACAGCGUAAACUGAUUAAACUGAUUAAACGUCGCGAUCACCAAUGCAAUCUUUGAUUAUUUCAUUCGCAAAAUCAUGAAACAUUUCAAAUAAGCAGAAAAUCAUGGCUUACGCAGCAAUUCAAUCUGUUUAGUAAGUACCCCUACUAUUUUUUAGACAACUUAUUUUUGAGCUGUCAUAUCUCGGAAACCAGUGAACCGAAUUGAAUUAUUUUUUUUAACGUUUAUCAACAAUAUAUUGAUACUGAAUACAACGUUAUAAAAUGUAAUAUUUUCUCACGGCAAAUUAAGUUACAUCGGGUUGAAAUUCUUACCCAUAUAGAGGAAAAUAAGUCAAAUUUACAAUACCACACAAAAAUUACUGAAUGUGUUCUUCCUUUAAUCUAAAUAGGCUCUAAUAUAUCUGAUUAAAGAUAACUUGAGAACAGAAGUGGAAAAUCUUUGGACAUCAACACUAAAAUUUAUUGACAUUGACGUAAAAAAAAAAAUACAUUUUUUCGAGAAAAAUCCAACAAGUGUUAACUCAUGAUAACUUUUUUCAACGUUCAAAAAGUAACUAUGUUUUAACAGAUUGUGAAGCAUUUGUAUAUUGUUAGUGUAUAUUCAAAAUUUCAUUUAAUUCGGUUCACUGGUUUCCGAGAUAUGACAGCUCAAAAAUGAGUUGUCAAAGAAAUAGUGUUUUACCCGAACGGUUCUAGCUUUGCGAAAGAUCAAUCAAUCCAGCCCAAAAUUGUACCAAUGAUGCACAUAUAAUAAGUUGUCAGUCAGUCAGUUGAUGCAGUCAAUGAAAAGUUAUAGCACGUUAAACUUUUUUGUGAGAGAAAAAAAGUUGCCUAUCCCAAACAUUUUGGUCAUCCCCCAUAUAAACAAAAACUGAAUUGAAAAAAAACAGGGUCGCCUAAUUUUCCGAAAACCUCCAGUGGAAAACAAAAAAUUUCCACAGACUCCACCUACUUUGAAAAACCAUAACUCAAAAACGAAGCAUCGGGGACAUAUUUUUUUGUGAAAUCAUAAGCUUUUGAAAAAAAAAUAUAAAAUGAAAAUUGUUUUCCACAAAAUUUUUCACUAUUGAAGAAAAUCGGUUGGAAAAGUCGGAAAAACUAUUAAGGAAGUCCGGAAAAAGAAUCUGAAAAAAAAUAAUCAUUACAUUAGCUUUAUUCUGUGAAAUUUUCAAGAUGUGGAUUUGCUUCGUUUCUGAGUUAUUGCCAAUUUUGUGGAAAUUGUCCAGAUGUUUGCUUAAAAAUCAUAACUUAAGAAUGGAAUAUCGUAGACGCAAUGUUUUUUUGUAAGACCGUAAGCAAAUUUUCUCAGCAAUCCUAAAAAAUACAAAAUGUAGGUUGUUUUCCGCGAGAUUUUCCACUGUUGAGGAAAAUCGGUUGGAAAAGGCGGAAAAACUUUUUUCGAGGUAGGGUGCGGGCACCGGUUUUGGCCAGUCUAAGGGAAAUCAUUUUUAUAAAAAUAACCAAUAAUCCUAUGAAAACAACCAAUGCGUCAAAAGAAAGGUUUCAAUCUAUAUUUUGAAGGAAAAAUGCAGAAGUCAUGCCAAUACUUGAUUUUUGUAUUAAAAGUGGCACUGGCCAAAAUAGAAGCUCUGCCGCAGUUUUGGCCAUAUUCUUAAGUUUGGUUUCUAUUUUGGCCAAUCACGUGUAUUUCUUAUGGGAGUGGCCAAAUUAGAAGCACCCUGGCCAAAAUAGAUAUUUGGGAGCAGAUUUUUUAAGGAAAUAUAUUUUUUUCUUCCAGUUUUUAAUCAAAAUGUGUGGUUUUCACAGCUGUAAUCAUCAUAUUGUAUUAGGAUCUA